rnacentral:rRNA from 1 species
UACGGAGGGCGCAAGCGUUGUUCGGAAUCAUUGGGCGUAAAGCGCGUGUAGGCGGUUUGGUAAGUCGGGUGUGAAAUCCCGGGGCUCAACCCCGGAACUGCAUUCGAAACUGCCUGGCUAGAGUCCCGGAGGGGAGGGCGGAAUUCCCGGUGUAGAGGUGAAAUUCGUAGAUAUCGGGAGGAACACCAGCGGCGAAGGCGGCCCUCUGGACGGUGCCUGACGCGGCGACGCGAAAGCGCGGGGAGCAAACACG